AUUGAACGCUGGCGGCAGGCCUAACACAUGCAAGUCGAGCGGAUGAAGGGAGCUUGCUCCUGGAUUCAGCGGCGGACGGGUGAGUAAUGCCUAGGAAUCUGCCUGGUAGUGGGGGAUAACGUCCGGAAACGGGCGCUAAUACCGCAUACGUCCUGAGGGAGAAAGUGGGGGAUCUUCGGACCUCACGCUAUCAGAUGAGCCUAGGUCGGAUUAGCUAGUUGGUGGGGUAAAGGCCUACCAAGGCGACGAUCCGUAACUGGUCUGAGAGGAUGAUCAGUCACCCUGGAACUGUGACACGGUCCAGACUCCUACGGGAGGCAGCAGUGGAGAAUACUGGACAAUGGGCGAAAGGCUGAUCCAGCCAUGCCGCGUGUGUGAAGAAGGUCUUCGGAUUGUAAAGCACUUUAAGUUGGGAAGAAGGGCAGUAAGUUAAUACCUUGCUGUUUUGACGUUACCAACAGAAUAAGCACCGGCUAACUUCGUG
rnacentral:rRNA from 1 species